rnacentral:rRNA from 1 species
GACGAACGCUGGCGGCGUGCCUAAUACAUGCAAGUAGAACGCUGAAGCGAGGAGCUUGCUCUUCUUGGAUGAGUUGCGGACGGGUGAGUAACGCGUAGGUAACCUGCCUUGUAGCGGGGGAUAACUAUUGGAAACGAUAGCUAAUACCGCAUAACAAUGUAUGACACAUGGCAUUUAUUUGAAAGGGGCAAUUGCUCCACUACAAGAUGGAACUGCGUUGUAUUAGCUAGUGGGUAAGGUAAUGGCUUACCAAGGCAACGAUACAUAACCGACCUGAAAGGGGGUCGGCCAAACCGGGACCGGAGAAACGGCCCGAACUCCUAGGGAGGGAGCAGUAGGGAAUCUUCGGCAAUGGGGGCAAAGCUGAACGAGGCAAGCCGGGGGAGGGAAGGAGGGUCUCGGGUCGGAAAGACCCGUUGUAAGGGAAGAAAGGGAGGGGGAGUGAAAAGUGCACAUUGUGACGGUAGCUAACCAGAAAGCCACGGCUAACUACGUG